GGCAAGAUGGCCGAGCGGUUAAGGCGCCAGAUUAAGGAACUUCGAUUUUUCAGGACAUCGGGACCAAGGCAGUUUCUGUCUUAUCAUAAUAUCUGGUCCGAUAGGGCGUGGGUUCGAAUCCCACUCUUGUCA